UACGAGGGGGGCGAGCGUUGUUCGGAAUUAUUGGGCGUAAAGGGUGCGUAGGCGGUUUGGUAAGUCUUGUGUGAAAUCUACAGGCUCAACUUGUAGUCUGCACGAGAAACUGCCGGGCUUGAGUAUGGGAGAGGUGAGUGGAAUUCCUGGUGUAGCGGUGAAAUGCGUAGAUAUCAGGAGGAACACCUGUGGCGAAGGCGGGUCUCUGGGCCGAUAUUGACGCUGAGGAGCGAAAGCGUGGGGAGCGAACAGG
rnacentral:rRNA from 1 species